rnacentral:rRNA from 1 species
AUUGAACGCUGGCGGCAUGCUUUACACAUGCAAGUCGAACGGUAACAGGGUGCUUGCACCGCUGACGAGUGGCGAACGGGUGAGUAAUGCGUCGGAACGUGCCGAGUAGUGGGGGAUAACGCAGCGAAAGUUGUGCUAAUACCGCAUACGUACUGAGGUAGAAAGUGGGGGACCUUCGGGCCUCACGCUAUUCGAGCGGCCGACGUCUGAUUAGCCAGUAGGUGAGGUAAAGGCUCACCUAGGCGACGAUCAGGAGCGGGUCUGAGAGGAUGAUCCGCCACACUGGGACUGAGACACGGCCCAGACUCCUACGGGAGGCAGCAGUGGGGAAUUUUGGACAAUGGGCGAAAGCCUGAUCCAGCCAUGCCGCGUGUCUGAAGAAGGCCUUCGGGUUGUAAAGGACUUUUGUCAGGGAGGAAAUCCCUAGUGCUAAUAACACUGGGGGAUGACAGUACCUGAAGAAUAAGCACCGGCUAACUACGUGCCAGCCGCCGCAGUAA